GAUGAAGAACGCAGCGAAAUGCGAUACGUAAUGUGAAUUGCAGAAUUCAGUGAAUCAUCGAAUCUUUGAACGCAUAUUGCGCUCUCUGGUAUUCCGGAGAGCAUGCUUGUUUGAGUAUCAGUAAACACCUCAACUCCCCUUUCUUUUUUUGAAAUGGGAGCUGGACUUGAGUGAUCCCAACGCUUUUCUCACCGAAAAGUGGCGGGUUACUUGAAAUGCAGGUGCAGCUGGACUUUUCUCUGAGCUAUAAGCAUAUCUAUUUAGUCUGCCUAAAAAACAGAUUAUUACCUUUGCUGCAGCUAACAUAAAGGAGAUUAGUUCUUGUGCUGACUGAUGCAGGAUUCACAAAGACAGGCUUCGGCCGACUUUGUAAACUCGAUCUCAAAUCAAGUAAGACUACCCGCUGAACUUAAGCAUAUCAAUAAGCGGAGGA
rnacentral:misc_RNA from 1 species